rnacentral:rRNA from 1 species
GGGUUGUGAGGUUAAGCGACUAAGCGUACACGGUGGAUGCCCUGGCAGUCAGAGGCGAUGAAGGACGUGCUAAUCUGCGAUAAGCGUCGGUAAGGUGAUAUGAACCGUUAUAACCGGCGAUUUCCGAAUGGGGAAACCCAGUGUGAUUCGUCACACUAUCAUUAACUGAAUCCAUAGGUUAAUGAGGCGAACCGGGGGAACUGAAACAUCUAAGUACCCCGAGGAAAAGAAAUCAACCGAGAUUCCCCCAGUAGCGGCGAGCGAACGGGGAGGAGCCCAGAGCCUGAAUCAGUGUGUGUGUUAGUGGAAGCGUCUGGAAAGGCGCGCGAUACAGGGUGACAGCCCCGUACACAAAAAUGCACAUACUGUGAGCUCGAUGAGUAGGGCGGGACACGUGGUAUCCUGUCUGAAUAUGGGGGGACCAUCCUCCAAGGCUAAAUACUCCUGACUGACCGAUAGUGAACCAGUACCGUGAGGGAAAGGCGAAAAGAACCCCGGCGAGGGGAGUGAAAAAGAACCUGAAACCGUGUACGUACAAGCAGUGGGAGCCUCUUUAUGGGGUGACUGCGUACCUUUUGUAUAAUGGGUCAGCGACUUAUAUUCUGUAGCAAGGUUAACCGAAUAGGGGAGCCGAAGGGAAACCGAGUCUUAACUGGGCGUUAAGUUGCAGGGUAUAGACCCGAAACCCGGUGAUCUAGCCAUGGGCAGGUUGAAGGUUGGGUAACACUAACUGGAGGACCGAACCGACUAAUGUUGAAAAAUUAGCGGAUGACUUGUGGCUGGGGGUGAAAGGCCAAUCAAACCGGGAGAUAGCUGGUUCUCCCCGAAAGCUAUUUAGGUAGCGCCUCGUGAAUUCAUCUCCGGGGGUAGAGCACUGUUUCGGCAAGGGGGUCAUCCCGACUUACCAACCCGAUGCAAACUGCGAAUACCGGAGAAUGUUAUCACGGGAGACACACGGCGGGUGCUAACGUCCGUCGUGAAGAGGGAAACAACCCAGACCGCCAGCUAAGGUCCCAAAGUCAUGGUUAAGUGGGAAACGAUGUGGGAAGGCCCAGACAGCCAGGAUGUUGGCUUAGAAGCAGCCAUCAUUUAAAGAAAGCGUAAUAGCUCACUGGUCGAGUCGGCCUGCGCGGAAGAUGUAACGGGGCUAAACCAUGCACCGAAGCUGCGGCAGCGACACUUAUGUGUUGUUGGGUAGGGGAGCGUUCUGUAAGCCUGUGAAGGUGUACUGUGAGGUAUGCUGGAGGUAUCAGAAGUGCGAAUGCUGACAUAAGUAACGAUAAAGCGGGUGAAAAGCCCGCUCGCCGGAAGACCAAGGGUUCCUGUCCAACGUUAAUCGGGGCAGGGUGAGUCGACCCCUAAGGCGAGGCCGAAAGGCGUAGUCGAUGGGAAACAGGUUAAUAUUCCUGUACUUGGUGUUACUGCGAAGGGGGGACGGAGAAGGCUAUGUUGGCCGGGCGACGGUUGUCCCGGUUUAAGCGUGUAGGCUGGUUUUCCAGGCAAAUCCGGAAAAUCAAGGCUGAGGCGUGAUGACGAGGCACUACGGUGCUGAAGCAACAAAUGCCCUGCUUCCAGGAAAAGCCUCUAAGCAUCAGGUAACAUCAAAUCGUACCCCAAACCGACACAGGUGGUCAGGUAGAGAAUACCAAGGCGCUUGAGAGAACUCGGGUGAAGGAACUAGGCAAAAUGGUGCCGUAACUUCGGGAGAAGGCACGCUGAUAUGUAGGUGAAGCGACUUGCUCGUGGAGCUGAAAUCAGUCGAAGAUACCAGCUGGCUGCAACUGUUUAUUAAAAACACAGCACUGUGCAAACACGAAAGUGGACGUAUACGGUGUGACGCCUGCCCGGUGCCGGAAGGUUAAUUGAUGGGGUUAGCGGUAACGCGAAGCUCUUGAUCGAAGCCCCGGUAAACGGCGGCCGUAACUAUAACGGUCCUAAGGUAGCGAAAUUCCUUGUCGGGUAAGUUCCGACCUGCACGAAUGGCGUAAUGAUGGCCAGGCUGUCUCCACCCGAGACUCAGUGAAAUUGAACUCGCUGUGAAGAUGCAGUGUACCCGCGGCAAGACGGAAAGACCCCGUGAACCUUUACUAUAGCUUGACACUGAACAUUGAGCCUUGAUGUGUAGGAUAGGUGGGAGGCUUUGAAGUGUGGACGCCAGUCUGCAUGGAGCCGACCUUGAAAUACCACCCUUUAAUGUUUGAUGUUCUAACGUUGACCCGUAAUCCGGGUUGCGGACAGUGUCUGGUGGGUAGUUUGACUGGGGCGGUCUCCUCCUAAAGAGUAACGGAGGAGCACGAAGGUUGGCUAAUCCUGGUCGGACAUCAGGAGGUUAGUGCAAUGGCAUAAGCCAGCUUGACUGCGAGCGUGACGGCGCGAGCAGGUGCGAAAGCAGGUCAUAGUGAUCCGGUGGUUCUGAAUGGAAGGGCCAUCGCUCAACGGAUAAAAGGUACUCCGGGGAUAACAGGCUGAUACCGCCCAAGAGUUCAUAUCGACGGCGGUGUUUGGCACCUCGAUGUCGGCUCAUCACAUCCUGGGGCUGAAGUAGGUCCCAAGGGUAUGGCUGUUCGCCAUUUAAAGUGGUACGCGAGCUGGGUUUAGAACGUCGUGAGACAGUUCGGUCCCUAUCUGCCGUGGGCGCUGGAGAACUGAGGGGGGCUGCUCCUAGUACGAGAGGACCGGAGUGGACGCAUCACUGGUGUUCGGGUUGUCAUGCCAAUGGCACUGCCCGGUAGCUAAAUGCGGAAGAGAUAAGUGCUGAAAGCAUCUAAGCACGAAACUUGCCCCGAGAUGAGUUCUCCCUGACUCCCUGAGAGUCCUGAAGGAACGUUGAAGACGACGACGUUGAUAGGCCGGGUGUGUAAGCGCAGCGAUGCGUUGAGCUAACCGGUACUAAUGAACCGUGAGGCUUAACCUUACAACGCCGAAG